rnacentral:rRNA from 1 species
GUGGGGAAUCUUGCGCAAUGGGCGAAAGCCUGACGCAGCCAUGCCGCGUGGAUGAUGAAGGUCUUAGGAUUGUAAAAUCCUUUCACCGGUGAAGAUAAUGACUGUAGCCGGAGAAGAAGCCCCGGCUAACUUCGUGCCAGCAGCCGCGGUAAUACGAAGGGGGCUAGCGUUGCUCGGAUUUACUGGGCGUAAAGGGCGCGUAGGCGGACAUUUAAGUCAGGGGUGAAAUCCCGGGGCUCAACCUUGGAAUUGCCUUUGAUACUGGCUGUCUUGAGUUUGGGAGAGGUGAGUGGAACUCCGAGUGUAGAGGUGAAAUUCGUAGAUAUUCGGAAGAACACCAGUGGCGAAGGCGACUCACUGGCCCAAUACUGACGCUGAGGCGCGAAAGCGUGGGGAGCAAACAGGAUUAGAUACCCCUGUAGUCC